CCCACCUUCACCACGUUCUGCCCGUUCACCUGGGCACAGGUAACAGGGGAGACAAGUGUGUGUGACAUCAUACAGGUGUAUGUGACGUCAUUGAGGUGAGUGUGACAUCAUACACGUGUGUGACAUCACCCAGGUGUGUGACAUCACACAGGCAGUGGGUAUGACAGGUAACAGGUGUGACAUCACACAGGUAUCACACAGGUGUGUGCCAGGUGUGACAUCAGGCAGGUAGCGAGUGUGACAUCACAGAGGUAUGACAUCACACAGGUGUGUGACGGGUAUGACAUCACACAGCUGUGACAUCACACAGGUGUGUGACAUCCAACAGGUGUGUGGUGGAUGUGACAGGUGUGACAUCACUCAGGUAACAGGUGUGACGUCACUGAGGUGUCACUCCAGGGCCACAGGGGACACGCCCAGCCUCACCUGUACAGGCGACGCUUCCCAGGAGUCCCCAGGUGUGUUCAGGUGUGCCCAGGUGUAUCCCCAGGUGUGCCCAGGUGUUCCCCCACCAGCCUCACCUGUACAGGUGACGCUUCCCAGGAGUCCCCAGGUGUGUUCAGGUGUGCCCAGGUGUAUCCCCAGGUGUGCCCAGGUGUUCCCCCAGGUGUGCUCAGGAUGUGCCCAGCUGCACCCAGCUGUGCUCAGGUGUAUUCCCAGGUGUGCCCUGGGACCCCCAGGUGUCCCCAAAUGUCCCCAGCUCUUCCAGGUGUGCCCAGGUGUGCCCAGCUGUGUAUCCAGGUGCACCCAGCUGUGCCCUGGGACCCCCAGGUGUCCCCAAAUGUCCCCAGCUCUUCCAGGUGUGCCCAGGUGUCCCCAGCUAUCCCCAGGUGUGUAUCCAGGUGUGCCCAGGUGUUCCCAAUUUUCCAUAGGUGUGUUCCCAGCUGUCCCCAGGUGUGCCCUGCUGUGGCCAGGUGUGCCCAGGUGUCUCCAGGUGCCUCCAGGUGUUCCCAGCUGUGCCCAGGUGUGUCCCCAGGUGUGCCCAGGUGUGUCCCCAGGUGUGCCCAGGUGUGUAUCCAGGUGUGCCCAGGUGUGUCCCCAGGUGUCCCCAAAUUUCCCCAGCUGUCCCAGGUGUGUCCCCAGGUGCCCCCAGGUGUGUCCCCCGCUGUGCCCCGCCGUGGCCAGGUGUGGCCAGGUGUGGGCGUGGCCUCACCUCGAUCAGGAAGUCUCCCAUGCGCAGCCCCGCCCUCCAGGCCACGCCCCCCUCAUCCACGGACUCCAGGUACUGCAGGGCGGGGAAGGCGGGGGGGGGGGGGGGGGGGGGGGGGGGGGGGGGGGGGGGGGGGGGGGGGGGGGGGGGGGGGGGGGGGGGGGGGGGGGGGGGGGGGGGGGGGGGGGGGGGGGGGGGGGGGUGAGAGGAGUCAGGGGAGAUUUGGUGAAAAUUUGGGGGAAUUUGGGGGAAAUUUGGGGGAAUUUGGGGAAAAUUUGGGAAAUUUGGGGAAAUUUGGGGGAAUUUGGGAAAAUUUGGGGAAGAAUUUUGAGAUUUUGGGGGAAAAUUGGGGGGGGGGGGGGGGGGGGGGGGGGGGGGGGGGGGGGGGGGGGGGGGGGGGGGGGGGGGGGGGGGGGGGGGGGGGGGGGGGGGGGGGGG
rnacentral:lncRNA from 12 species